UGCUCAUUAUUUGAUAUUUAUAUAGCCACCCAUUUCUACCUUGUUAUGUUUCUAUUUUUUAAUUUGAGGUCGGUGGUCUUGGUGGGGAGGGGGGAAAGGAAUCCUUGACGAUAUGACAGUUUACGUCUUUUUAAUUUUGCAGUUGAGCUAUGACCAUCAGGUGCUCCUUGAUUACCUUAUUUCGAAAGAUACCGGAAUCAGCUGUGCAGAACAUCUUUUAAAGUCUUUAUUCUACUAGUUAUAUUCUACUUCUCUAAACUUGAGAAAGCUAGGGGCCCAUUUGAAUCAAACAGUUUGAUAACCAUUUCAUUUUUUGUUUUUAGUUUUCACGUUUUGGUUAGAAAUAAAGUGGAAAUAAGGAAGAAGGGAGAGAUGGAUAAGGAUAGAGGAAGGGUGGUGGGAAGAAUGUGGAAAAAAUGAAUAUAGAAGGAUACACAACAUGAAAACCAAACCAAAUACUGAGAAGAAAUUUAAGUAGGUUUUCUCUUUCUAGUUUUUGGUUUUUAUUUUGUUGUUGGAUGCGCAUUUCUCCGUUCUCCCUUGUACCACACUUUCUCCACAUUUUGUAUUCAUUCAUCAUUCCAUAUACUUUGCCUCUAAGUUUAGUGUGAAGAAAUGAAAACUACAAAUGAAAUGGUUAUCAAAUGGACGUUGAAUUGUACUUUGCUACUUUUGCUUGUUUCAAAUUCAACCCUUAAGCUUGUUUGCUGUUCUGGUGAUUGUUACCUACUUUAAGCCUUAUUAUGGUUUUAUUCUUUGAUUUUUUGAAUUAUUGGUUAAUCAUGAAUUGAAAUGGUGAACUACAAUAUGAGGCAUGAACCCUCUACUCCUGAAUGACCUCUCUUAACUGAUUAGCAACAAAGGAGAAAGAAAACGAAUGUAGUUGACCCUAGAGAUUCGUAUUUGAUUCAUAUAAUUGUAUUUUUAAGUUUCUUCUCACUGUGCUUAAUGCAUUCUUUCAUAAGUGCUUGCGUAAAGUGUUCAAUUCAUGAAGUUUAUUUGUGGAGUUUUCAGUGGGUCGACAUGCUACAAAUCGAUCAUCUAAGAGAAGAAAAGUUGCAUCGGAUGUGUGGAGUUGCAAGGGCACUCAAAGUGGAGGAAAGUAUUUUAAAGAAGCCAAAGGGGGCUUACUUUCAUUGAAAAAUUCAAUUGAAAGUCUACACCGAAAGGAUCUGUUUCCUUACAAUCCUAAUGUUCUUCUGAACCGAACUCUGUUUUGAGGAAAAGAAGUAAUCUUCUGACUUCUAAAGGACUGAGUGGUUCGAGCUCUUCACGAUUCUUUCCAGCAUAUAUAACGAUGUUUUUCGAAGAAGUGAAUGAGUAGAUGAAAAAACCUUGUAAUUGAGGUAAUUUAGAUUUGUUUUACAUAGAUGCUCAUUUCUCAAUUUUUCCCCUAACAAGUAGAGAAGCAAAGAAGUUUAAUUUGUAGAAACAAUUAUACACGAAAUCCGAGUGACUUGUGAGCUUUGUGUUA